rnacentral:lncRNA from 1 species
AUGGUUUGGUGUAAGCACAGCAAUUCUCACCUCUUUCUCUCCCUUUUAAGUCUCUUGAGCUUGGAGACCUCUUUCCUCAUUGCAAUUAUGAUUAUUUGCAACAUCAGUGCCAUCAAAGAUUGGAGCACUUUCCUUUCCCAAAUCCUCCCCAGCGUUAACAAGACUCUGAACUUGGUACAGCAAGUGGAAGCCACCACCAGCUCGGUGGUAAGUGUCCUCCAGGACCCCGAGCAGGACAGCUACCUGUCCAAUAGCCAGUCCAUGAACUCCAGCAACUUCACAGCUGGCCUGGACCACUUGUUCCAGUACUCAUACUCGGACAAUGAUCAGCUCUACAAGGAGUACAAACCCCCUCCUCGAGAUGCCAUUCCUCUGCCCAAGGCUGUCCUCUACCUUCUCAUGGCAGCCCUGGUGGUGGUGGCAGUGGCGUAUGCCAUCGUCGGCCAUCUCAUCAAGGACCUCAUUUACGACUUUGUAGAUGCUUCUUGAAAAAUCAAUUAGAGUUUGCCCAGGCAUCCCCAGGGGCACAUGAGCACUGUGGGCCAGGGAGGAGUGAGAAUGGGAGGCUGCAUUGGAGAAGGAGGAAAGAUGCAAUGUUGGAGAGUGGGAAGGCAGAGCACUUGGAUAUGGAUAAGUGGGCUCUGAAAGAGCCCCUCUUCAGCUCUUCCUGGCCCAGGAGAGCCCCACCACCUUCAUUUCUCUCCAGUCCCUCCUGCUUGCUCCGAGCUGACCAAGUCUCAAUUUGGCUUGCCCAAAACUCAUCAGAUGUCCCUGCCUGGGGUUGGACUCAAGCCGAGGAGGGUGGGAGGGAGCCUCCUGCGUGAGCACAGCUCAAACCCCACCACCAGUUCAGGCAAAUUGGGUCGAAGCAUUUGGAAAGCUGCUUAACUCGGAAGCGCUGGAGAGCUGCCAGAGCCGGCGCUGCGGCGAAGAGCUGGCUUGGCAAAUGACAAGCCUGUCACCAACGUACGAGGCUCCUAAUUACUGCAAUCCUUGGGAAUCAGCCCGCCCUCCCUCCUCCGUCCCCAGCAGCUCGCUGAAUAUCGCUCCUAUUUAAACAUUAAAAAAAAAAAAAAAAAUGAGGAAAAGGGGGAAAAAAUAAAAAGUUUGACGGGAAACA